GCAAACACAAGGUAAUAUUUGACUCCUGCCCAGCACUUCCAGAUCACAAAAACACGGAUCUUAUGACCAGAAAGGCCUUAAGAUAUCAUCUGGUUCAGUUCCCUUGCCUUCAGAGAUAAAGCUGUCUAGAAUCUAUCCCUUUUUCCUCACUCAGAAUGUGAAUGCCCAGACCUUAAAAAAAGCAAAGCUCCCAAGAGCAGAAAGUGAGGAAAGGGGAAACAACGUGAAGGUUUUCAAGAACUGCAUCUGAGGAGAUGACGGAACGUUCUGCCUCUGCAGAAUUAGACACACACGCUCCGAGGGGACCGAGCCCACACUCCCCACAGCCUUCCACGGCAGCACAGAGACUCUCCGGAGAAACCACAAUGCAAAUCCACGGUAAAGCUGCAGUAUUAGUCCCCAUGAAAGAUGAAUGGGACGCACAGGAUCAAGAAAAGCAACGUGAUGUACUCCGGGCCACGCGCCAUCUCCUGCUCACUCCCAGGCCCAUCCUGCCUUUGAGCCACUGGGCCUGCUGCUUCCUGCUGCAACCCUGGUGAUCCCAACCCUGCCUUGGAAUGUCUCCAGCAACGUCUCAAAACCCACCGAAAACCUCCAACAAUAAAAGGAAAUUUAAUUCAUGUUCAUAAAACCAUAUGCCAUCAAUAUUAAGAUAUGUCACCUUUUAAAAAAUAUUAAUGACAGAGAGCUCUCUAGAAGUAAGGAUUCAAACCACAACAUGAAGCCAAUAUCCACAUCCUGCUGAAACACCAAAGGGGCUAGAAAUUACAGUCGUACUGGAGCGAACCAAUAAA